UUGCCCUACACAGAGAAAAAAAACUCAGGGUGGGAGAGGUACUGAGUAUUUCCUUUAAGUGAGAGAGACAUGAGUACCUAAAACCAGAAAAUUGGUUUUGACUAUCAGGUUGCUUUUGUGUGUGUGUGUGUGUGUGUGUGUGUGAGAGAGAGAGAGAGACUUUAGCAGGAGUGGUUUCAGGAAUGAACAAGAAUGAUGCAUAAGUGGCCGGAAAAAUGGCAAUACUGUAGUUAACGGAAAUUUUGCAUGAAGGAAGAGCAGAGGAUUAUGAAUCUGAUCUGCGCAGAGAUUUGUGAUCCACAGAAGGGGCCACAAAACCUAAAACAUUUAUAUCAGACCCUCUGCCCAAAGCGGCCGCCAGCCCGGCCCAGACCCUGCACAACUUCCCCGCUCACCUGCGGCCGUCCUCGCGUCGGAGCGGGAGCCGACGACAUCGGAGCGCAUCGGGAGCGCAUCGGGAGCCGACGACAGAGGGCCCGCGUCCACGGAGGCAGCCUUGCG
rnacentral:lncRNA from 1 species